UACAGGGGGUGCAAGCGUUGCUCGGAAUCAUUGGGCGUAAAGCGCGUGUAGGCGGCCCGGUAAGUCUGCUGUGAAAGUCGGGGGCUCAACCCUCGAAUGCCGGUGGAUACUGUCGGGCUAGAGUGCGGGAGAGGCGAGUGGAAUUCCUGGUGUAGCGGUGAAAUGCGCAGAUAUCAGGAGGAACACCAAUUGCGAAGGCAGCUCGCUGGAACGUAACUGACGCUGAGACGCGAAAGCGUGGGGAGCAAACAGG
rnacentral:rRNA from 1 species